AAGUCGUAACAAGGUUUCCGUAGGUGAACCUGCGGAAGGAUCAUUAACACUUUUGAAAAGCAUCCAAUAUCAACAAAUCACAACCAAACGGUCAACUAUCUCCUCCCUAUUUCGCACACCGGAGACGGUACGAGUAGGCUAACAUGUCAAUAACAAGCUCAAGCUCAAGCAAUUGCGCAUGCGCAUGUUAUUUUCAAACACAAGAUAACCCCUUUUAAUUAUAUUAUUCAUUUAAUAUAAACGAACAACUCUUCGAAUUUGCCCUUCAUUUUCAAUGAAGAACAAAAACGAACUAAACUAAAAUAUACAUUCGAUAUAUUUUUAUUUUACGAAAUAAUAUAUAUUUAUAAGAACAACUCUUAGCAAUGGAUAUCUUGGUUCUC
rnacentral:misc_RNA from 1 species